rnacentral:rRNA from 1 species
CUCGUAGGUGGCCAACUAAGUCAGACGUGAAAUCCCUCAGCUUAACUGGGGAACUGCGUCUGAUACUGGAUGGCUUGAGUUUGGGAGAGGGAUGCGGAAUUCCAGGUGUAGCGGUGAAAUGCGUAGAUAUCUGGAGGAACACCGGUGGCGAAGGCGGCAUCCUGGACCAACACUGACACUGAGGAAGCGAAAGCCAGGGAAGCAA